GGCAUCGGGACGCGCCCGCGUUCCUCCGCGUGGGUCAGUCCUGCGCGGCCGGUGACCCUGCAGGGCUUGAGCCGGUGGGAGAGGAGAGGCCGGCUAGUCGGUGCCUGAGAAGGAAGAAGACUGUGUGAUUGAACCUGUGGAUCCCUGUCGCGUAUUUCUGCCUGAUUCAUUUUCCAGCGACCCUGGUUAAAAUCUACAAAAAGCCACCCUAGGGCCACAGGAUGGAGAGAGAAGAAUCAAUUUUUGUCUCUUCUAUCCAGUGAGAGGAGAGUUUGACUCACCGCAUUACAUGAACCAUCAAGAACUGUGUCCAUGGAAGUGUGGUCCCAAAUGUUUGAGGAGAAAGCUCUCCUGUGUACCUUAUUGCAAGGAACA
rnacentral:lncRNA from 1 species